rnacentral:lncRNA from 1 species
UCCCCUGACUCCCCAGUCUGGGGCUGGUCAUGGGGCCUUCCUGGCCGGCAGAUCCUGAGCCCGGCUCUCCCUCUGGGGCCGGCUGCCCCCUCCCCAGCUGCCUGUGUCCCCACCCCUGCAGACAGAGGUUCCCGGGAACGCCACCUCGGCCACUCUGGGCCCCCUGUCCUCCUCCACCACGUACACAGUCCGUGUCACCUGCCUGUACCCCGGGGGCAGCUCCUCCACACUGACCGGCCGCCUGACCACACGGAAAGUCCCCAGCCCGAGCCAGCUGUCAGUGACAGAGCUGCCCGGGGACGAGGUCCGGCUGGCGUGGGCGGCCGCAGCGGCGUCGGGGGUGCUUCUCUACCAGAUCACGUGGACGCCCCUGGGAGACGGGAAGGCCCAUGAGGGCUCUGUCCCAGGGAACUUGGGCGCGGCCGUGCUGCGCGGCCUGGGGAGGCUCUCGGAGUACGACAUCACCGUGCUGGCCUACUACAGGGACGGGGCCCGCAGCGACCCCGUGUCCCUCCGCUACACCCCCCGUAGGUGACCCUGCUCUGCCCCGGGUCCCCAGCUCCGUGGGCCCAGGACCCCAGACUCCCAAGACGGCCCGUGGGCAGCUCCCCGCGUCUCGGACCCCGCACCUGACGGCUCGGGUCCCUGGGAGGCCCCCCAGCACCGAGCCCUCCAGCCAGGCAUCCCCGGGGUGGCCGAGGGUCCCAGUCAUCUGGGGUGACAUAGGUCCAAAGACAGUCCUGGAACUCGCCUGGUGGCCAUCCGUGCCGAGGCCACUGGGCAGUGUGGCCUGGGGUGCGUGGUGAGGGCUGUGGAGUGGUGGGGGUGGUGCCAUCUGAGGCCCCCACCCCCGUGCUCUCCCCACAGUCAGCCAGAGCCCGCCAUCCAACCUGGCCUUGGCCUCUGAGUCACCCACCAGCCUGCGGGUCAGCUGGACGCCCCCGAGCGGCCCUGUCCUCCACUACCGGCUCACCUACGCGCUGGCCUCAGGCUUGGGGCCCGAGAAAUCGGUGGGUCUCAGGAGCCAGGAAGCUGUCGCCCUUUGCCUACCCCUGGGCCCACCCUGUCUGUCGAGGGGCCCACUCUUCCGUGGGCCGGACACACGGAGAGGGAGCUGAGAGGCCCAAGUGAGCAAAGAUGCUCAGGGGACCCCCCCCCGCCCCCAGAUCUCCGUUCCAGGACCCAGGAGCCACGUGACACUGCCUGACCUGCUGGCAGCCACCAAGUACAGGGUCCUGGUCUCAGCCGUCUACAGAGCAGGGGAGAGCAUGGCCGUGUCUGCCACGGGCCGGACGGGUGAGUGGGCACCACGCUCCCAGCCCCCGGUGGAUCCCCAGGAGCAGAGCUGGCGGGGAUGCUCAGCAGGACCCCGUGUGCAGCC